CCCUACGGGGCGCAGCAGGCGCGAAAACUUUACAAUGCGGGAAACCGUGAUAAGGGAACUCCGAGUGCCCGUUAAAUCGGGCUGUCCAUCUGUGUAAAUAACAGGUGAAGAAAGGGCCGGGCAAGACCGGUGCCAGCCGCCGCGGUAAUACCAGCGGCUCGAGUGGUGGCCACUAUUACUGGGCUUAAAGCGUUCGUAGCUGGUUUGUUAAGUCUCUGGGGAAGUCUUCCGGCUUAACCGGAAGGCGUCUCAGGGAUACUGGCAGACUAGGGACCGGAAGAGGUGAGGGGUACUCCAGGGGUAGGAGUGAAAUCCUGUAAUCC
rnacentral:rRNA from 1 species